UAGACUUAGACUUUCCAAUUCUACCAAUCAAACUUGAUUAGUCAAGAGCAUGCAAAUGUUAAUUUCUACAUUCUAUUACAAUAAUAGGAUUAACCCUAGCAGGAAUAAACCACUAAUCUAAUUUCCUCUAGUUUCCCAAUAAGCAUGUCUUGCAGUGCUACUCAGUGACAAGGUUCUUGCUCUGCCCAUCCAGAGACCAUGUAUCUCCCUGCAAAGUGGUUGCCAGGUAAGUGAUCCAAUUUCCUUCAGUCAAUCAGCAGUGCUCUCAUUGAAUCCAGAGGAUGAUUGAGUCCCAAGUACUGGGAAUGUAGGAGCCAAGGGUAUGCUGAAGGCUGGGAACACUGGUGACUUUAUUAGAGUUGUAGUUAUAAACAUUAACUAGUUACACUCAAAUUCUGCUUGGUGGCUAAUGACCUAAUUUGUUUACCUGUUAAUUUGAUUGAUACCUGACAAAACAAGCUUAAAGUUAUUUUUAAAAUAUCCAUCAAUGGCCUGUCCUGCUGGGGGGAGGAGGUUCUCAUAUAUUUAACUGUAGCCAAUGAGCAUGGGCCUCUUCUUUGACACCACAUAUACAUUUAUAUUACUAUAAAUAAUAACAAUAAAAUAAAACAAACACUGGAACACUUCAUCACAAAAUGAUGGCCUAAUGCAAAAUGAAGUCACUUAUGUCAAGGUAAAAAUCUUAUUCUGACUACAGUCCCUGACUUCAUUUCUAUACAGUCAUUCAAUGAUGGAUAUAAUUGGGGCUUCAUGAUGCAUACAACUAAAGCUCCAAGGUUUUUCAUAUGAAGUAGGUAGACAGGGUCAGAGUUGUGAAUGGGGUACCCUCAGGUCAGCUGACAAUAGAAUCAGAGCUAUGACUACUGUAUUUAAUUUUCUGCCAAAUUGUUUUUCUUUACUUUAUGCAUUUUCAUUUCCCUCAAUUCUGCAUGUGUUGAAUGUAUGUAGGAAAAAUACACACUGAAAGUGGCAAAGGAUGUCGUAGGCCCAGGCUGGAGUCAACGGUCAACUCAAGGAAUCAAUUUGUCUAUCUUUUUGUCUGUGAAUCCUUUAAGGUUAACAUUAUUCCUGCACUUCUUCAUCAUUAGGAGUACUCCCAGGAAGAGUUCAGCUGUCUAACUCCUAUGCAUAAAUGUCCUAUAUCACAACCGGCACCAUUACUUUUGAAAAGUGAGUUUCCUUCAGGUUCUGAUCUUUUUACUAUGAAUGCCUUAAGAAUGACAUUAUUUCUCCAUUUAUGGGCCUUAGGAUCAUUUGAGUGAAGAGUUGAGCAAUCUUCCUUUUCUGGAUAAAUUUCACUUCAAAAAAGCUCACUGUUAUUUCUGAAAGGUGAGUUUCCAUGACUGAAUCUGUUUAAAAAAUUUAUAAAGGUUGGAGAUGAGGGUAUCAGUCAGGGCAGUGGGGGACAGGUGCCUCUUGAUGGGCCAAUUAAAUAGUUCUACUGCAUUCCUGACUCAAUUUUCUUUACAAGUACUCACACACAUCCGUGAUAGUAAAAAGAAUGACUCACUUGUACCUAGCAAGCUGUACAUUUUGGGCCACUUUUGAGCUUCUAAACAAACUGUGUAUCCCGGUGUUACAGGGAUGAGAAAAUAACACAGGUUAAAUGACUUUGUUAUCUUAACAGGUCUGAUAAGUGGAUGAUUUGGAAGGUGAAGUCCAGGUUUCCUGACCCUGCAGUAAAGGUUUUUGAACACUAAAGGUUUUGAAAUCCUGCCUAUUAUGCAUCCUUUUUCCUCUCUUGCUACAUAUCCAUUCUUUUAUCAUAUUCUUACCUGCUCUAAAAUUCAGGGCCCACAUAGUUAGACUUACAGAAAUUUUAAAGACAUUUUAUUUGGAAGCACCGUAUCAGACAACUCAGAGAAGUGAGAACCAAAUGUUUUUUGUAUAUCCCUGUUGACAUUUCUUUUUCCUUCAUGCUACAUGUCUUCAAGGGUGGCAAAAUAAAUAUUCGUUGCUGUGGGGAAAUACUUACAGACUUCAGUUCAGAUUAUGGGGCCUUCCAGAAACGUCAUUUUUUCAUUCUUUCUGCCUCCCAAUACUUUAGAGUUAACUAUAUUUCUCCAUUUAUUGGUGCAAAGAUUAUUCCCAGGAAUCCUGAACAGUCUUCAUCUUUUGGAUAAAUGUCAUUUUGAGUAUCUCACUGUUUCUUUUCAAAGGUGAGUGUCGGGAUUUGCACCUGUUCUAGAAAUUUGAUUAGGUUGAUUCUGGGGGGAUACAUCAGGAAAAGCCAGGGAGGUUACAUCCUGAUGGUGCUUUGAAAUAGGUCUGCACUCUUGUCACAUCUUUCCUCAGAAGUGCUCGUGCACAUCUGUAAUAAGAAAAAGAAGCACUUGCUUUUACACAGCAAGCUCUAAUUUUUCUCUGCCUUUUCAGCCUCAGAGCAAACUGUUAGACUGGUGGUUUCCUUGCUAUGAUUUUGCAGGUCAAGGGGCUGAGGAGAGGAGUGAGGUCACCUGACUGGAUCUUCUUGACAUGUCUGGAUUAUUCCCAGGAAGAGCUGGGCAGUCUUUCUCCUGUGGACAAGUAUCAUUCUGAAAGGCUCACGGUUUAUUUUCAAAGGUCAGAGAGCUGAGGAGAGGAGUGAGGUCACCUGACUGGAUCUUCUUGACAUGUCUGGAUAGAGAUACACUGGAACAUGUGAGAAGUGGCCCUCUGGUUCACAAAUAUCCUCCUGCAAAGAAACUGUCUUCCCUUUGAAAUGAUUAUUCCCAGAAAUAGCUGGGCAGUCUUUCUCCUGUGGACAAGUUUCAUUUUGACAGGCCUACAGUUUCUUUUCAUAGGUCAGAGAGCUGAGGAGAGGAGUGAGGUCACCUGACUGGAUCUUCUUGACAUGUCUGAAUUAUUCCCAGGAAGAGCUGGGCAGUCUUUCUCCUGUGGACAAGUUUCAUUUUGACAGGCUCACAGAUUCUCUUCAUAGGUCAGGGAGCUGAGGAGAAGAGUGAGGUCACUGACUGGAUCUUCUUGACAUGUCUGGAAGAAGGGAAGACGGAAGGAAAGGCAAAAGGCUCACCAGGAAGAGGCAGGAAUCUCUGCAAGUAUCUUGGAACCAGAGAAGCAAAUCCAAUAGAAAAAGACAACUUCAGAGCUGCCCUAGGAAUGAGACCUAUUCUGGAAUAUCCAAAAGAAGACGUUUCCAGGGACCAGACAACUACAUGGGCCAUCUGGGAUCCAAGAUGAAAAGAACUGAACAUUGGGAGUGGAUUACAAGGAGAACUGAUGUUAUUUAAUAUUGAUGGUCCUUACUGUAUUACUUUGGUUUUUUAUUUCAUGGUAUUUAUGUUUACUGAGUUUUCUGGGUGACCUUGCUGAUAUGUAAAUCUCGCUUCUAAAAUUAGUACAUGGCAAGAACCCUAAGUGCCUUAACCUGCCUUAGUUUACAUAUGGAGCUUAUUUAACAAGGUUUGUCUCCUUGGGGCAUACAUGGGAUUAUGAUUUGUGAUGCUCAUGGCCAAAGUACACAUGGUUCUUGUUGUAAGUUUAAGUCCCCAAGCUUACAGCCACUGAUAUUUGCUCAACUUGAUUAGGCAUGAGCAGUAGAGAGUAGGAUGAUGCAGUUUAAGAUAAAGGAGUGAUAUGAAACCAGUUGUGGCACUGCACCAUAUUAUGGUUAGCACCAAAUAGUGGAAUUAUAGGAAGUUUUACUGACUCAGUGACUUACUGUUCCCAGUCCUGCUUGUCAGUCACUGUUGCGGGAGGCAUCACCCAGUCUGCAACUUUUGCAUUACCUGCUCUCCCUCAUGUACCAGGUCACCGACUACCUGUUAGCCUGCACAUACUAGCAAUUGGGGAGGAACUGAGAUGAAAUGUCCCAUCAUCUUUUGCUAAGGUGGACCUAUCUGAAAUGUCUUUAUCUUGUUAUGAAAGUUAUCAAUAAAAGCUGGCACCCUCUUGAAUCCCUGGGUGACCUCUUGCUGA